GAAAUGCGAUAAGUAAUGUGAAUUGCAGAAUUCAGUGAAUCAUCGAAUCUUUGAACGCACAUUGCGCCCCCUGGUAUUCCGGGGGGCAUGCCUGUUCGAGCGUCAUUUCACCACUCAAGCCUCGCUUGGUAUUGGGCGACGCGGUCCGCCGCGCGCCUCAAAUCGACCGGCUGGGUCUUUCGUCCCCUCAGCGUUGUGGAAACUAUUCGCUAAAGGGUGCCGCAGGAGGCCACGCCGUAAAACAACCCCAUUUCUAAGGUUGACCUCGGAUCAGGUAGGGAUACCCGCUGAACUUAAGC
rnacentral:misc_RNA from 1 species